rnacentral:tRNA from 1 species
GGCUCGAUAGCUUAGUUGGAAAAGCACUUGUCUAGCGAAUAAGGGUCGUGAGUUCAAAUCUCACCUGAGCUG